AGAGUUUGAUCCUGGCUCAGAUUGAACGCUGGCGGCAGGCCUAACACAUGCAAGUCGAGCGGAUGAAGGGAGCUUGCUCCCUGAUUUAGCGGCGGACGGGUGAGUAAUGCCUAGGAAUCUGCCUGGUAGUAGGGGAUAACGUUCCGAAAGGAACGCUAAUACCGCAUACGUCCUACGGGAGAAAGCAGGGGACCUUCGGGCCUUGCGCUAUCAGAUGAGCCUAGGUCGGAUUAGCUAGUUGGUGAGGUAAUGGCUCACCAAGGCGACGAUCCGUAACUGGUCUGAGAGGAUGAUCAGUCACACUGGAACUGAGACACGGUCCAGACUCCUACGGGAGGCAGCAGUGGGGAAUAUUGGACAAUGGGCGAAAGCCUGAUCCAGCCAUGCCGCGUGUGUGAAGAAGGUCUUCGGAUUGUAAAGCACUUUAAGUUGGGAGGAAGGGCAUUAACCUAAUACGUUAGUGUUUUGACGUUACCGACAGAAUAAGCACCGGCUAACUUCGUGCCAGCAGCCGCGGUAAUACGAAGGGUGCAAGCGUUAAUCGGAAUUACUGGGCGUAAAGCGCGCGUAGGUGGUUCGUUAAGUUGGAUGUGAAAGCCCCGGGCUCAACCUGGGAACUGCAUCCAAAACUGGCGAGCUAGAGUACGGUAGAGGGUGGUGGAAUUUCCUGUGUAGCGGUGAAAUGCGUAGA
rnacentral:rRNA from 1 species